CUGGAAAGAAGCCAGAUUCCUAUGGUAACUUCGGAUCGUCGUUUAAGUUGUCUCACUGCCUCCUGCUCAACGUCACUUCCGGUGUUACCUGUGUCGUUACUGGGAGCUGUAAACAAGGUGUGUAAGCAUCUGAAGAGCUGGCGGGAUGCAGCAGAGCGGAGCGGCUGGAGGUCGUGGCUGCGCUCUUUUCCCUGUGCUGGGCGUCCUGUUCUUCCAGGGUGUUCAUAUCGUCCUUUCCUUGGAGAUUCAUGCAGAUGCCCAUGUCCGAGGUUAUGUUGGAGAAAAGAUCAAGUUGAAAUGCACUUUCAAGUCAACUUCAGCUGUCACUGACAGGCUGACUAUAGACUGGACGUAUCGCCCUCCCAGCAGCAGCCGCGCAGAAUCAAUCUUUCAUUAUCAGUCUUUCCAGUACCCAACCACAGCAGGCACAUUUCGGGAUCGGAUUUCCUGGGUUGGAAAUGUAUACAAAGGGGAUGCAUCUAUUAGUAUAAGCAACCCUACCAUAAAGGACAAUGGGACAUUCAGCUGUGCUGUGAAGAAUCCCCCAGAUGUGCACCAUAAUAUUCCCAUGACAGAGCUAACAGUCACGGAAAGGGGUUUUGGCACCAUGCUCUCCUCUGUGGCCCUUCUUUCCAUCCUUGUCUUCGUGCCCUCAGCCGUGGUAGUUGCUCUGCUGCUGGUGAGAAUGGGGAGGAAGGCUGCUGGGCUGAAGAAGAGGAGCAGGUCUGGCUAUAAGAAGUCAUCUAUUGAGGUUUCAGAUGAGUCAAUUAUUUUUCCAUCUCCUUGUUUUUGGCACUAAGCUGAUGAUAUCUCCUGACAGAAAAUGCCUGGGCAAUGAGAGAGGCUUUAAGAACAGCUGUGGAGGGCAAAAGCGAUUUGAAUAAGCAAGAUCUAUUCUUGCACUGAUCAGGAGGAGGAAGAUGCGUGCAUGGCGAGGCUUUGCGUCCGUUGCGCUGAGUGCCUGGAUUCAGACUAUGAAGAGACAUAUUGAUGAAAGUCUGCAUGUCAUAAGAAGAGUCACCUAAUAACGGGAAGCAUCCCAUUCCACUGGCAGCUACGUCCUGUCAGAGAAGUGGAGCCGGGACCAUAGUGAUGGACAAUCCUGGAGAUCAUCAGUAAAGCCUUUCGGAACCGCUUAUUUAUUGAAUAAAUGUUUUGUUGUAUUUAUAAACUGUGCAAGAACUCUCAUAAGAGACUCAUGACUUCCCCUUUCAAGAAAUUAUGCUGUAAUUGAAUGAAGAAAUUCUUUUCCUGAGCAAAAAGAUGCUUUUUGCUUCAUGUUUGCUCUGGGAUGUAUUACGUUUUCCUCCAACUGUUCGAAGGAGAAUCCUGCAUGUAGGCCGCACCGCUGAUGCCAGAAUCACUUUCUAAAUGAAGUGGCGCUUGUGGCUUCCUGAUUUGUCACCAGACAAAACGUUUGCUUAGGAUGGUAUUCUUUGUUUUUUGCUCCAGGUACACUUUCAGCUGUGAGUAGGAUAGGACAUACGCUCGUUGGUUUAACCACCUCAACCUCAGUUGUUUUUGGGUAACUUAGAGUGUAUACUCUCAGUUUCCUUAAAGUUGGUAGGAUCAAAUCUCUGGUUUGCUUUGACUGGGUUUUGAAAGUAUUAAAUACAAUGUCAUCAAUUUACAAUUAAGGAAGGGAAUAGCGAGGUAGAAUAAUUAUUUUCUUUAGUGUUGCUGGUACAGUUUGGGCCAAGGAGUCUUUUAUAGCUACUACUUUUCAAGUCAGAGGCAAGAAAAAUUCUUUACAGGUUUUUAGUAGCGGCUUAUAGAGUAUUUCAGGAGUUCUUUGCGAAUAUAUCAUGUUUUCACUUGUAUUGUUUUUCAAAACUUUGUUGAUUUCUGAAAUGUGCCAACUAUGAGUAAACUAUGAGGACUUGUAAGCUGUUUUUACAUAAUAUUUGAGAUGAGGAAGUGAGAUUGUGCAUAGCAUAGUUCUCCUUUCUGUUCUCAGUGCCUUGUAACAGCUUACUCCAUUCUGCUAUAACAGCUUGUUUCAAAUUUUAAUUUACAUGGGACUUUUUUUUUUUGAGAUGGAGUUUUGCUCUUGUUACCCAGGCUGGAGUGCAAUGGCGCGAUCUCGGCUCACCGCAACCUCCGCCCCCUGGGUUCAGGCAAUUCUCCUGCCUCAGCCUCCUGAGUAGCUGGGAUUACAGGCACGCGCCACCGUGUCCAGCUAAUUUUUUGUAAUUUUUAGUAGAGACGGGGUUUCACCAUGUUGACCAGGAUGGUCUCUAUCUCUUGACCUCGUGAUCCACUUUUUAUAAGCCCUGAAGGCGUAUAGAUAGCAUAUCAGUAAAGAUGGAUAGUGCAUAUAUAAACAGUCCUCUGUAAUAGUGAUCGGGUUCACUUCUCAAUUAUGAGAGACAAAAAUUAUCCCCUCACUGGUCUCUAUUCUUUCAACAGGUUGAUCCCUUUUCAUGGUUUUCAUUAGGUAGUUCAGGAAGUUUCCAUAUUACAGCAUUUUAGAGUGUAUAUGUUAGUUUAAAAACCACUUUUCUCUCUCAAUCUCUCUCUCUCUUUUUUUUUUUUUUGCCAAGAUCUAAUUUAAAACAUGUGGGUUGUUAGAUCUGUCUCAUGGAGUUGGCCUGGUCUCUACUAUUAACCUGGUCCACAGAUCGGAAAAUCUGUUUAGUUGGAGGAUAUCGUGAUUGACUCUGGUCACGCGAGGAAGUAGAAGAGGCACAGACAGGACCGGCAGCUGACAUUUCCAGUGGUUACACCUCAUGGUACUUUGGGCUGCUUGUUAACUUAUGCGGUUGUCUCAGGCCAAUCUAACGUGACCAUGUCUGACACCUCAGCAGAGAGAGGAAAGGAACUGGAGCAAAGAGAGUAAAUAAUUCAAAUCUCUAGAGAUUUGAAGAUAGAGAUCUAAUUGUGAGGGGAACUUUCUCGGUGUCCUCAUUUCUCCGAGAAAGAGAUAAUGUCACAGGAACUCACUGAAAGCCACAUCCCAUUAAAUGAGGAACCAGUUUUGGCCGGGCCUUCUUGUAAAGUCCUUGCAGGUGUGUUGUGAAGAUCACUGCCGGGUGGUAUGUUUGUAGACUGACACCUAGUCUAAGCUCGAGGUAGCUGGUGCUCUGCGAGUACUUAGUCAUGUUCUUUUGCAGCUUUAAUCGUGACUUGAACUAGUCCCUUCCUUUUUAAAUGACUGAACAAUAGAGUCCUUCAUGGUAAGAGAGUACGUUGACAAUUUAGUUUACCUAAUUUACUUGACUUCAUGGGUUUGUAGUCACAUCUGUCAUUGGCUGCUAUCAUUUUCCUUCUUUAUCCCUUAUAUUGAGAUUUGGGUUACAGCUUUUUAUUCUUCAAAGGGUCCCAAAGCAGUGUACAGAUGCCUGCCUUCUUUAAGGAUGAAAGGAAGAGAAAGUGGUUUACUGUUUACCUGUCUCACCUAUUGUUGAAUAACUUCUAAGGUGCUAUUUUGCUCACUUUGCUACUCCAUGGGCACUUGUCAUACCCCUGGAAACCAGCUUCAUUUAGAAAGGGAACUUAGUUCAGAAGGGGUUGAAAACCUUUCAGAAUUUUUCUUUAGCUGCUGAAGUUUUACUUAGCUGCUGAAGUUACAUUACCUGGAGUUUUAGGCAUUAAGCUCUUAAUUCUAUUACAAAAUGUGAACUUGUCAAUUGCUUUGUGUUCUCCAUGUGACCUGCUACUUCAGGCUUCUUGGGGAACAUCUUAGUCCUCUGCAGCUCCUGAACUCGGCGCUGGUGCUUCAGGAGAGAAGGUAGCACGUCUUUGUUAAAAACAAAACGGAACAAAACAAAAUGACCCUUCUGGAGGCCACAUCCUGAAUAUAAACCUUCUACUAAGUCACUCAGUUAUGGUUCUACAGGGAAACUGUAAGGAGACCAUAAGGAGUGGGCCAAGACUGUUAUAUAAUUGCACAACUUGAAACUUCGCUGCCAGAAGAGGCAGCUCCAUUCCUGUGACUCCAGUGUUGGGCUGUUAACUGCCGCAUCUCAUUGCCUUUUUUGUUUUUUGUAGGAGGGUAGGCACUGUUGGGGCAUAUGCACAGAUAUUGUAACUCUUGGUAUCUUUACUGCAUCAUAAUUAAUAAAGUUCUUUGCUCCCUUCGGCUA